UACGUAGGGGGCGAGCGUUGUCCGGAUUUAUUGGGCGUAAAGAGCGUGUAGGCGGUUCGGUAAGUCUGUCGUGAAAUCCUGAGGCUCAACCUCGGGCGUGCGAUGGAUACUGCCGGGCUAAAGGAUGGUAGAGGCGAGUGGAAUUCCCGGUGUAGCGGUGAAAUGCGCAGAUAUCGGGAGGAACACCAGUAGCGAAGGCGGCUCGCUGGGCCAUUCCUGACGCUGAGGUGCGAAAGCGUGGGGAGCAAACAGG
rnacentral:rRNA from 1 species